GGUGGUCGAUAAGUUGGUGUUGGUAGACGAGAUGGUGGACUCGAUGGGGGUGGACGAGGUGGGGAGGGUGUGGGGGUUGGCGGUGGUCUAUAAGUGGGUGGUGGACUCAAGGGAGGUGGACGAGGUAGGGAGGGUGUGGGGGUUGGUGGUGGUCUAUAAGUGGGUGGUGGACUCAAAGGAGGUGGACGAGGUAGGGAGGGUGUGGGGGUUGGAGGUGGUCUAUAAGCGGGUGGUGGACGAGGUAGGGAGGGUGUGGGGGUUGGUGGUGGUCUAUAAGUGGGUGGUGGACUCAAAGGAGGUGUACGAGGAGGGGAGGGUGUAGGGGUUGGUGGUGGUGGUGGUUUAUAAAUGGGUGGUGGACUCAAGGGAGGUGUACGAGGUGGGGAUGGUGUAGGGAUUGGUGGUGGAGGCGUUUUAACAGGUGGUGGACUCGAUGGAGGAGUGCGAGGAGGGGAGGGUGUGGGGGUUGGUGGUGGUUUAUAAAUGGGUGGUGGACUCGAGGGAGGUGUACGAGGUGGGGAGGGUGUAGGGGUUGGUGGUGGAGGCGUUUUAACAGGUGGUGGACUCGAUGGAGGAGUGUGAGGAGGGGAGGGUGUGGGGGUUGGUGGUGGUUUAUAAAUGGGUGGUGGACUCGAGGGAGGUGUACGAGGUGGGGAGGGUGUAGGGGUUGGUGGUGGAGGUGUUUUAACAGGUGGUGGACUCGAUGGAGGAGUGCGAGGAGGGGAAGGGGUAGGGGUUGGUGGUGGCUUAAAGGUUGGCGAUGGAGGUGUUUGAGCUGGCGGGGGCUUAGGGUGGU
rnacentral:lncRNA from 1 species